rnacentral:rRNA from 1 species
CUCCUCAAGAAUUAAUUUGAGGUAUAGCCUGCUCUAUGAAUUUAUUUAAAUGGCCGCGGUAUUCUGACCGUGCGAAGGUAGCAUAAUCAUUAGUCUUUUAAUUGAAGGCUGGUAUGAAUGGCUGGACGAGAAAAUUUCUGUCUCUGUUAUAAAUUUUGAAUUUGAUUUUUAAGUGAAAAAGCUUAAAUAUUUUUGGGGGACGAUAAGACCCUAUGGAUCUUUAUAAUGAUGAUUAAUAAAAAGUUUAGAAGUUACAGCUUUUUACUCUAAGUUAUUGGGUUGGGGCGACUGGAAGAAAAAAAUAUCUCUUCUUAAAAAUAAAUAUUAUUUAUAGAAUUAAAAAUGACCCUAAAUUUUGGUUUAGCAGAUCAAGUUACCCUAGGGAUAACAGCGUAAUCUUUUUGGAGAGUUCAUAUCGAUGAAAAGGUUUGCGACCUCGAUGUUGGAUUAAGAGAUCCUUACGGCGCAGCAGUUGCGGAGGAAAGUCUGUUCGACUUUUAAAUUCUU